rnacentral:rRNA from 1 species
AGAAUCAACGCUGGCGGCGUGCCUAACACAUGCAAGUCGAUCGAGAAAGUGGAGCAAUCCAUGAGUAAAGAGGCGCACGGGUGAGUAACACGUGACUAACCUACCUUCGAGUGGGGAAUAACCUGGGGAAACCCGGGCUAAUACCGCAUAAUACCUACGGGUCAAAGGAGCAAUUCGCUUGAAGAGGGGGUCGCGGCAGAUUAGUUAGUUGGCGGGGUAAUGGCCCACCAAGACGAUGAUCUGUAUCCGGCCUGAGAGGGCGCACGGACACACUGGAACUGAAACACGGUCCAGACUCCUACGGGAGGCAGCAGUGGGGAAUUUUGCGCAAUGGGGGAAACCCUGACGCAGCAACGCCGCGUGGAGGAUGAAGUCCCUUGGGACGUAAACUCCUUUCGACCGGGACGAUUAUGACGGUACCGGAUGAAGAAGCCCCGGCUAACUUCGCGCCAGCAGCCGC